GCGAACAGACGGGGGCGUCCGCUGAAGCGGGCUGAGAAGCACCCUUUGAACCUGAACCAGAUCAUGCUGGCGGAGGGAGUCGCGGGUCGAGAUAC
rnacentral:ncRNA from 2 species